rnacentral:ncRNA from 1 species
AAACGAGAAUAGCAAACCUUUCGAUAAACUCAGGGCAAGCCCUUCAGUAAAAAUGGGUGCCCGCCCCGAGCGUAGUCGAGGGGGGCGCAAAGUCGAAGCCCCGUGAAAUACACGGGGGGCUGGACUGCCGAA